rnacentral:rRNA from 1 species
GACGAACGCUGGCGGCGUGCUUAACACAUGCAAGUCGAACGGACCGAGUUGAUAGCUUGCUAUUGAUGAGGUUAGUGGCAAACGGGUGAGUAACGCGUGAGAAACCUGCCUUUCAGUGGGGGACAACAGUUGGAACGACUGCUAAUACCGCAUAACACUUUAGUACCGCAUGGUACAGAAGUCAAAGCUUAAUGUGCUGAGAGAUGGUCUCGCGUCUGAUUAGCUAGAUGGCGGGGUAACGGCCCACCAUGGCGACGAUCAGUAGCCGGUCUGAGAGGAUGAACGGCCACAUUGGGACUAAGAUACGGCCCAGACUCCUACGGGAGGCAGCAGUGGGGGAAUAAUUGGGCAAUGGGGGAAACCCUGACCCAGCAACGCCGCGUGAAGGAAGAAGGCC